rnacentral:rRNA from 1 species
AUGAACGCUGGCGGCGUGCCUAAUACAUGCAAGUCGAGCGAACGGACGAGAAGCUUGCUUCUCUGAUGUUAGCGGCGGACGGGUGAGUAACACGUGGAUAACCUACCUAUAAGACUGGGAUAACUUCGGGAAACCGUAGCUAAUACCGGAUAAUAUUUUGAACCGCAUGGUUCAAAAGUGAAAGACGGUCUUGCUGUCACUUAUAGAUGGAUCCGCGCUGCAUUAGCUAGUUGGUAAGGUAACGGCUUACCAAGGCAACGAUGCAUAGCCGACCUGAGAGGGUGAUCGGCCACACUGGAGCUGAGACACGGUCCAGACUCCUACGGGAGGCAGCAGUAGGGAAUCUUCCGCAAUGGGCGAAAGCCUGACGGAGCAACGCCGCGUGAGUGAUGAAGGUCUUCGGAUCGUAAAACUCUGUUAUUAGGGAAGAACAUAUGUGUAAGUAACUGUGCACAUCUUGACGGUACCUAAUCAGAAAGCCACGGCUAACUACGUG